rnacentral:rRNA from 1 species
GGCCCUGGGGGGCGUGCCUAUACAUGCAAGUCGAACGAACUCUGGUAUUGAUUGGUGCUUGCAUCAUGAUUUACAUUUGAGUGAGUGGCGAACUGGUGAGUAACACGUGGGAAACCUGCCCAGAAGCGGGGGAUAACACCUGGAAACAGAUGCUAAUACCGCAUAACAACUUGGACCGCAUGGUCCGAGCUUGAAAGAUGGCUUCGGCUAUCACUUUUGGAUGGUCCCGCGGCGUAUUAGCUAGAUGGUGGGGUAACGGCUCACCAUGGCAAUGAUACGUAGCCGACCUGAGAGGGUAAUCGGCCACAUUGGGACUGAGACACGGCCCAAACUCCUACGGGAGGCAGCAGUAGGGAAUCUUCCACAAUGGACGAAAGUCUGAUGGAGCAACGCCGCGUGAGUGAAGAAGGGUUUCGGCUCGUAAAACUCUGUUGUUAAAGAAGAACAUAUCUGAGAGUAACUGUUCAGGUAUUGACGGUAUUUAACCAGAAAGCCACGGCUAACUACGUGCCAGCAGCCGCGGUAAUACGUAGGUGGCAAGCGUUGUCCGGAUUUAUUGGGCGUAAAGCGAGCGCAGGCGGUUUUUUAAGUCUGAUGUGAAAGCCUUCGGCUCAACCGAAGAAGUGCAUCGGAAACUGGGAAACUUGAGUGCAGAAGAGGACAGUGGAACUCCAUGUGUAGCGGUGAAAUGCGUAGAUAUAUGGAAGAACACCAGUGGCGAAGGCGGCUGUCUGGUCUGUAACUGACGCUGAGGCUCGAAAGUAUGGGUAGCAAACAGGAUUAGAUACCCUGGUAGUCCAUACCGUAAACGAUGAAUGCUAAGUGUUGGAGGGUUUCCGCCCUUCAGUGCUGCAGCUAACGCAUUAAGCAUUCCGCCUGGGGAGUACGGCCGCAAGGCUGAAACUCAAAGGAAUUGACGGGGGCCCGCACAAGCGGUGGAGCAUGUGGUUUAAUUCGAAGCUACGCGAAGAACCUUACCAGGUCUUGACAUACUAUGCAAAUCUAAGAGAUUAGACGUUCCCUUCGGGGACAUGGAUACAGGUGGUGCAUGGUUGUCGUCAGCUCGUGUCGUGAGAUGUUGGGUUAAGUCCCGCAACGAGCGCAACCCUUAUUAUCAGUUGCCAGCAUUAAGUUGGGCACUCUGGUGAGACUGCCGGUGACAAACCGGAGGAAGGUGGGGAUGACGUCAAAUCAUCAUGCCCCUUAUGACCUGGGCUACACACGUGCUACAAUGGAUGGUACAACGAGUUGCGAACUCGCGAGAGUAAGCUAAUCUCUUAAAGCCAUUCUCAGUUCGGAUUGUAGGCUGCAACUCGCCUACAUGAAGUCGGAAUCGCUAGUAAUCGCGGAUCAGCAUGCCGCGGUGAAUACGUUCCCGGGCCUUGUACACACCGCCCGUCACACCAUGAGAGUUUGUAACACCCAAAGUCGGUGGGGUAACCUUUUAGGAACCAGCCGCCUAAGGUGAACAGAAAUUGG